CUUUGAAGAGAGAGUUCAAGAGGGCGUGAAACCGCUGAGAAGGAAACGGAUAGAGUUGACGAAACUCGAUGGCAUUCAUCCGAGUCAUUGCACAUUGCUACCGAGGCACGCUUCCGGUUCUGCCGGAUUGCUGUUUCGGCUAUGCGAUGUUUCUGCUUGGUGUAUUUGCUGUCGGUAUGCGCUGAGAAGUUCGCUGUGGGGCGCUAAUACUGGUUUAAAGAGGACCGUGUCCAACUGGGCGUGGAACCCUUUAGCUAGUGGAGGCGUCUUCGCGGUGAAUCUGCUUCGCGGUGCACCACCCGUUCUGGCGCAAUGGUUGUUGCGUUGGUUUGACGUGACUGUUGGGCGGUCGCAUGCGACUUGCCUACAGUUGGCGUUGGCUCGUUGACGGCCUUUUAUUGCGUAUUGGUGUGUGCGUCUCGGUGUUAAAGUCGACCACCUAUCCGACCCGUCUUGAAACACGGACCAAGGAGUUCAGCAUAUGCGCGAGUCAUUGGGUGGUAAACCUAAAGGCGUAAUGAAAGUAAAGAUCGCUUUAAGCGAUUGAUAUGGGAUCCGCGUUGUUACACGGCUUCGCGGCGCACCAUAGCCCCGUCCCCGUUGCUUGCAAUAGGGCGGAGGUAGAGCGCAUACGCUGAGACCCGAAAGAUGGUGAACUAUGCCCGAGCAGGAUGAAGCCAGAGGAAACUCUGGUGGAAGUCCGAAGCGGUUCUGACGUGCAAAUCGAUC
rnacentral:rRNA from 1 species